CACGGGGGGAACGAGCGUUGUUCGGAUUUACUGGGCGUAAAGGGUGCGUAGGCGGGCCGGUCAGUCGGGUGUGAAAUCUCACGGCUCAACCGUGAGGGGCCAUUCGAAACUGCCGGUCUUGAGUACGGGAGAGGAAAGUGGAAUUCCAGGUGUAGCGGUGAAAUGCGUAGAUAUCUGGAGGAACACCGGUGGCGUAGGCGGCUUUCUGGACCGAUACUGACGCUGAGGCACGAAGGCCGGGGGAGCAAACAGG
rnacentral:rRNA from 1 species